rnacentral:lncRNA from 1 species
AUAGUCUCUUCCCUUUUGACCCCACAAAACUCGCACAAGAACAUGAGCAACCAACAAGUCUGCAAGUUGACCACAUAUAAUGAUAAUCAAAAUCUAUGCCCCUUUGCCAUUAGCUGAGAAUGUCAUCAACUUCUUCCAGAAACAUAUCCAGAGAUCUGCACUCAGUCACAAGAAGUUGCCUAGGAGAGAACAGUUGCAUGAUUGCCAGAUCAGAAAACUAGAUAUCAAAUUUGAGUUUUGGUGAAAAGGGCUGAGACAAGCUCCUGUACAAAAAAGAAAAGAAGAAACAAAAAAAGCUAUUGCGACUUCCUCUUUUUGGACUUCCUUUCAAACGAUCAUAGUUGUUGUUGAGAAACUAAUAUAUAUCACAGAGCAUGCUGAUCAUGCUAAGUAGCAAAGAUGACUACCAAUAUAUUAUGUCAUAGUUGGAAAAAUCAAUUUAUUACAUGAAUCAGAGAGUAAAAAAUGACUUUCCAUGUAUGUCAAAUAACAGAAAAUGAAAACACAUGCUUCAAAGGUUCGCAGCAACAGAAGCUUCUUAUAAUUUCCUUUACCCCUUUGCUUCUGCAAUUUCACCACAGCUUUUUCUUAUGAUUUUAGAAGUUUUUCCUCCCAACUUGUCAGCUAAGUUACAAUUAGAAGAUGAAGUCAUAAAUGGAUGGACAUGCUGGUGAAUUUGAUUCGAAAGCAUCCUAACCGGGCAAAAUUAUGCAGAUUCUGGAGGAAACUUACAGUGGGAUGAACCCUAGUAGAAUUAAUAUAUCACAAAAAACUUGCAUCGUCAAUGAGUGAAAGAAGAGAACACAACAGACAUGCAAGUAAAGAUGGAAGGAAAUGCAACAAUUAGUGGGUAAAAAAUGGCCAAAGAUAAUGCCCAUUAAUAACAGUUUGCAAUCACAAUGAAAUGAAGCAUCGCAAACUAGAAAAAUAUAUCAAAAAAUUACGUUCAAUGAGAUGAAAAGAAGCCAUAAUAGUCAUGCAAACAGAAAGGGAAGAUGGAACAAAUCUAUAGCAACAUUUUUUUCUUUAAAAAAAAAAAGGGCAAACCUGACCAACAUUCUAACGCAAGUAAAGUCGAAGAAGCAUGACCAAUAUGAGGAGUUCUUACUCGGAAAAGCAAUGACCAAUCAGGAACGGAGGGAGAUCAACCUCUGCCGAUGAAGUAUUGGAUAACUAUAAGGAAGAUUUAAUAACAAAAAAAUAAAACCAAAACAGCUGACAAUCAUGCAUUGAACAGAUCCAAACAAACAGGGGGAAGAACCCUAGAUAUUGCGACAGAGGAAAGAACAAGCUUCAAAAAACCUGUUACCGGCGAUGAAUUCUACGACGAAGUGGACAGUCGAGGUGCCUGAACUGAAGCGAAGAGUUGUUCUUUGUCGUUUUCAAGCAAGCCUUUGGGGAGAGAGAGAGAGAGAGAGAGAUCACAGAUUUUUUUUAUCUGUUCGGUUUCUCAUUUAUCUUAAUUUUCAUAUUACGGAUAUUGUGAGCAUUUUUUGAUUUAUUUGCGACAAUUUAAAGUUAGUUCAUCUGGUUUAUACCCUCAAAAACAAAAAAAAUUAUCCUUCUUUAUUUGGCCACCAUUAGCAGUUUUAGUAUUAUUUAACUCUAAUUAUUUCUUUUUUUUAUUUAAUUAGUUUACUUAAUGAAACAAUCUUCUUCUUUUGCACUGGAACUGCGGGAUUCCAAGUGCGAGUGAAACUUUCCGGGAGAAAUUCCCCUCUCCCAGGUGCAUGUAUUCUUUUGCACGCGCACGGAACUCUCCGCAAGUGGACGUGUGCGAGCACGGAUCCCGUGCUGCCUGCCUGCGCAUCGUCUCCUCCUGCGCGUCUCCCUGCGCGCGGGUGAUGAUUCUGCGGGUUUCGGCAUAAUUUCCUUAAAAGAAACUACAUGUUUUCACUAUCUCAAUUUUUUUAAAAAAAAAAUUGACAAUAUAAAUAAAAAAAUACAGAUAAUCUACAUUUUUAUUAAUUUUUUUUUUUAAUAAAACUAGCUAGUUAUCUUAUAUACUAACAUUUUAU